rnacentral:rRNA from 1 species
AACGAACGCUGGCGGCAGGCUUAACACAUGCAACUCGAACGCCCCGCAAGGGGCGUGGCAGACGGGUGAGUAACGCGUGGGAAUGUGCGCCAAGGUACGGAACAACACCGGGAAACUGGUGCUAAUACCGUAUGUGACCGAGAGGUGCAAGAUUUAUCGCCUUGGGAUCAGCCGGCGAUAGAUUAGCUAGUUGGAGAGGUAAUGGCUCACCAAGGCUACGGUCUAUCGCUGGUCUGAGAGGAGGAUCGGCCACACUGGGACUGAGACACGGCCCAGACUCCUACGGACGGCAGCAGUGGGGAAUCUUGGACAAUGGGCGCAAGCCUGAUCCAGCCAUGCCGCGUGAAUGAUGAAGGCCUUAGGGUUGUAAAGUUCUUUCGUCGGGGACGAUAAUGACGGUACCCGAAGAAGAAGCCCCGGCUAACUUCGUGCCAGCCGCCGCAGUAA